ACUGAAGCAUUCUGCGCCUUUUCACUUGUGAGGAUGACUCAUUGUAUCUCUGGGUCUCCUUGUCAUUGUUUUCGUAGCUGCUACCAUGGUAAGUCAACUCUCCACAAGACUUAACUGGAGUUCUUUCAUCGUCAAACAUAAAGGAAAUAUCUUCACCUUUGCUCAACAAGCAAUCAGAUAUAUCAAUAUCGGGAUCAUCUCCAAG
rnacentral:misc_RNA from 1 species